rnacentral:rRNA from 1 species
UACAGCGGCAGUGUACUGCGGGGCGGAGACGAUGUUCUGACCAACCUACGUAGUGAAUUACUACGACGUGGUAGAAGAGAAGAGUAUGAAAGUUCUCGAAAAUGGGACCGACCCUCUUACUUUGGGCACCUACGACAACAUCGUUGUCACAGAAGAAACGGUCUACUUCAACACCUAUGUUAACCCUGUCAUAACGGUAGACUUCUAAGCCAAAGACUCUCCUCCUCUUUUGACUUUAAGGAACUCUACGUCCUUCUUGAAUAGUUCCUCCUUCUCUUCUUCUUUCUCUUUCUCCUCUUCCGUUUUGUUUUCUUCCUUCUUUUCCGUUUAGAGUGUCUUGUCCUCCGACCACUUCUUCUAAACCGAAAUUUCCUUUACUGACCCGGAUGACGAUCCGUUCUUCUUCUUUAUUAUAAUCGUUUUGUUGUACUGGUCCUCGUCGAGACAUUAUAGUCAGCUUGUAACCGACACGACCGUAGACGUAGCAGACAAUCGUUCCUCGCAGUUCUCAAGGACUCGGAACAGUUGUUCCUCUUUUCCUCUAACUACUAUACCUACGUGUUAAACCUUUGCCGACCGUUGACGAAACUAUCCCAGUCGGAUCACUUCCUACUACAAUCGUAUGGAGUUGGCACCCUAGUGAACGACUACGACUCCACACCUACGUCUAGAUGAAGCUGGAGCCCCUCUACCGGCGGCAGCACGCACCAGGAGCCCGUCCCGCACCGCCGGGACCGGCGCGGGUCCCCCCCCGCCUCCCCGUCUCGACUCCUCGUCCUCCGGUAGGGCGUCCAGGUCCUAGCCCAGCGAGGGGAGGUAGUAGUCACCAGAAAUACCGCGCUGCCCUUGGUCUUGUGGUAGUUCGACCAGCUGUCGCUACUUAACUUCCGAAUGGCGUAUGAACUCGUCAGUCGCAUGUAACUAUCUGACCUUGAACUGUCGAAACGAUAUGGACUACCUGACGAACACGUCGGUCGAGUAUAGCAGUCCUACGAGAUACUAGAGCAACUGAUGAUGUUGUUAUACUACUGCUAGGCAGCUUUCAUGGAGUACUUCUUCGAACUACCCACAACCAGAUUCCUCUACCUGGUCUACGAGUUCUGUGUACUGUCCAUAGACCUUUCUCAGUUACUCUUCGAUCUGCGGUAACGUCUACGUUCUCCGCUAACGGGUGGGGCCGGUUUCCAGAAGCUACGGGUGGGGUUUGAGACGUUCACUAUAUGUGCGACAGAGACGUAUUCUUACUGCGACGAGAACACUUCAGAAUGAGACGGGCAGACGCUUACUUCAGUAACAAGGUAUGAGGUCUACGUGUCAAUCUUUGAGGUCUACGUGUCAAUCUUUGAGGUCUACGUGUCAAAGAACCGGCGUUUUGUGACUUCAGAGCGGACAAGAGAACAAGGACAUAUGUAACACAACUCUCUUGGGACGACUCGAAGACUUUACAAUAUUGACGUCAGAAUUAGCAUUGAUAUGCAAUAUGUAUCAACUUAGACGAGGUCUUAAGAACACCUAGAGAGAAGGUACUUCAGUAAAAUGUUCUAUACUAAAAAAACAAGAAGAAAGUUAACACUCAAAAAUGAGAAGUCAAACAGGGACAUUUGACAUCAAGGUACGGCGAACGUUCGUCUUAAAUAAAACGACCACGACCACUGUCCCAGUGAACCAUUCCAACUACGAACCAAAUACGG